rnacentral:rRNA from 1 species
AUGUUUGCAAUUGAACUUUAUUAUGUUUAUAGUACAAGGCAAGUAUUAAUAAUAUUGCCUCGGAGUUGUGACUUUGCAAGUUGCCAAAUUUUGUUGUAUGUGACAUUAUUUUUUGUUAUGCUGGUUUGCUUAUGUAUAUUAUUCUUUUGUUGUUUUGUAAUCAAUCAUCUACUACAUCUAAACUCGGCUUUGUUUUUCUUCACAAAUAUUGCACACUGCCUUGGUCACUUCGUCAUUGUAAAACUAGACUCCACUCAAGUGUUCUACAAUAUAGAAAUAUUUAUGAUGCGGCCUCAAAGCGGCCACAAAACUGGACCACCAUACAAUAUAUCAAAACUAUAUCUAUAUAUUAUUUAUCAUAGGUGGAGGUCCCUGUAUAGUCUCUUAUUUCCCUGCAUGUUGCAGCAGUCUUUGUAUGUGACAUUAUUUUUCGUUUUGCUGGUUUGCUUAUGUGUAUUAUUCUUUUGUUGUUUUGUAAUCAUUCAUGUACUACAUCUAAACUCGGAUUUGUUUUCCUGCACACUGCCUUGGUCACUUCGUCAUUGUAAAAUUAGACUCCACUCAAGUGUUCUACAUUACAGAAAUAUUUAUGAUGCAGCCCCAAAGCGGCCACAAAACUGGACCACCACACAAUAUGAAAACUAUAUCUUUAUUAUAUUAUUUCUCAUAGGUGGAGGUCCCUGUAUAGUCUCUUAUUUCCCCGUUAGUUGA